UACAGAGGUCUCAAGCGUUGUUCGGAUUCAUUGGGCGUAAAGGGCGCGUAGGCGGCGGUGUAAGUUGGAAGUGAAAUCCCAUCGGCUCAACCGUGGAAUUGCUCCCAGUACUGCAUCGCUCGAGGGGGAUAGGGGUCUGCGGAACUACCGGUGGAGCGGUGAAAUGCGUUGAUAUCGGUGGGAACGCCAGUGGCGAAAGCGGCAGACUAGACCCUUCCUGACGCUGAUGCGCGAAAGCUAGGGGAGCAAACGGGG
rnacentral:rRNA from 1 species